rnacentral:rRNA from 1 species
AGCGAACGCUGGCGGCAGGCUUAACACAUGCAAGUCGAGCGGGCGUAGCAAUACGUCAGCGGCAGACGGGUGAGUAACGCGUGGGAACGUACCUUUUGGUUCGGAACAACACAGGGAAACUUGUGCUAAUACCGGAUAAGCCCUUACGGGAAAAGAUUUAUCGCCGAAAGAUCGGCCCGCGUCUGAUCAGCUAGUUGGUGAGGUAAUGGCUCACCAAGGCGACGAUCAGUAGCUGGUCUGAGAGGAUGAUCAGCCACAUUGGGACUGAGACACGGCCCAAACUCCUACGGGAGGCAGCAGUGGGGAAUAUUGGACAAUGGGCGCAAGCCUGAUCCAGCCAUGCCGCGUGAGUGAUGAAGGCCCUAGGGUUGUAAAGCUCUUUUGUGCGGGAAGAUAAUGACGGUACCGCAAG